UUUCUGCACAGGCGGGAAAGAGCUGCUGGCCACCUGUUCCAGAGCUUCUCCCCGGAUCAUUUGCUGCCGGAGCCCAUCUCCUGUGUCUGGCUGCUCCGCUAUGGGGUCCGGCUGUUGAGGAACAGCCGACCCCAGGCCUGGCCCACCCUUAGACACAGGUCUCAGGGAUGGACGACAAUGGGAGCCCCUCGUGAUCUGGCGCCAACAAGCUGACACUUCCCUGCCCUAAGUCACCCAAGGCCAGGUGCCAAGCAACCAGAACUUGACCCAGUCACGCACGAGUUGACGACUCCAGGGCAUCCCUCACCUUGGUGUCAACCUGCAGGGCAGUGCCCUCAUCAGCUUGGAGAGGACAGGGGCUGUGUGAGUGCCCCUCCAUGACCCAGGGCUACCUCCUCAGUUCUGGACAGCAUCUGCAUGUGGUCAGCCAACUCCAGGUUCUCCUCCGUGUUCUUCUGAGCCAGGAAGCGGCCAGCUAUGUCCUGACCAGUCCAGGGCAAAGAGAAACAGGUUGUUCUGGAAGCUGGCGGAUAAUCUGCAAAGAGGAGGGUUCAUUGAGCAUGCUUGGCAACAAGACAUCCCUGUCCUCCAACAACCUCAGUGGUGGAGUCGCAGAACCCUGCCCAGGAGAACAGAAGGACCUGGGCUCCCAGAGUCCCAGCCCUGCUGCCUGGCUGUGCAAGUGAAGUCAUUAAUGCAUCUCAUCCUCCACCCAGCCACCCUGAGUCCCGCCCCGAUGGAGGAGCCCCGUCCCGCC